rnacentral:rRNA from 1 species
GAUGAACGCUAGCUACAGGCUUAACACAUGCAAGUCGAGGGGUCUCGCGGGAGCUUGCUUCCAAGAGACGACCGGCGCACGGGUGAGUAACGCGUAUCCAACCUGCCCUUCAUAUUGGGAUAGCCUUCCGAAAGGAAGAUUAAUACCGAAUAACAUGAGAAAGUGGCCUGAUUCUCUCAUGAAAGCUCAGGCGAUGAAGGAGGGGGAUGCGUUCCAUUAGGUAGUAGGCGGGGUAACGGCCCACCUAGCCUACGAGGGAUAGGGGUUCUGAGAGGAAGGUCACCCACACUGGAACUGAGACACGGUCCAGACUCCUACGGGAGGCAGCAGUGAGGAAUAUUGGUCAAUGGGCGCAAGCCUGAACCAGCCAAGUAGCGUGGAGGAUGACUGCCCUAUGGGUUGUAAACUUCUUUUAUACGGGAACAAACCUUGGUACGCGUACCAAAUUGCGUGUACCGUAUGAAUAAGCAUCGGCUAACUCCGUGCCAGCCGCCGCGGUAAGAC